UAAAACUUUUCUUCACACCAAAGCAGUAUAUACAGUGUACAUAUAAUCAGGGAAAUCCUCUUCAUUCUUGGUACAGCUGGGAAGAUCCCCUGGCCGUCUGUCGUCAUCCACAUAACGCAGCCUGAUUGGUCCAGUCGCGUCUUGUUUUCCUGCCAUGCGACGGCUUGCUGGUUUUGGUUAAUGACCCCCUCCCCUCCCUAGGGCGGCGGCAAUAGUAGGGUCGGCCGCUAGGGGCGCGAUUUUAGUCAGGCUAGCUCUUUGAUAAGGUCUUUGAUUCGGACUCAAAAGGUGGUGGGAUUUCAAUGAUAUUCUCUCCUGUCAUUUCCAUGGGGGGAUUAUAUGGGCGGAAAUUUCUGAUGUCUUUCCUCUCGUGACCAUAGUUUUGGAGAAACAAAACACUGCUAUAUUCGGUUUGAAUUUCAGGGGGCAACUUUUUUCCGUGUUUUUGUCCUCUGUGGCCACUAUUGGGAUUAAGUGUAGAGUGCGUCAUUUGUCUUUCAUUCCAGAGGACAAAGGUAUCCUAAAUGUUACUUCUCUUAUGACCAUCCGACAAAUGCUCAAUAUGCGUCAUUUGACUUUCAGGGGGCGGCAAUUAGAAAUCUGAUUUCUCUUAACGGUUACUGACGAAGAACGCAUCACAUACGUAUACAGGCCUUAUUGCGAACCAGAAGCUUACAUAUCACCUUUCCCAAACGUCCGGCUCUUACCACGCACUAUUACGAUUUUUGUGUGACGCUGGUAAACUCUUACAUGUACCAUCCCAGGUGCUUUGCGACACAUUUAAUAUCAUGCCUAUUGAGAUAGGCAAUUAACAUCUGCGAUGUGCGUAUUGCAAUGGAUUACAGACGUCACGUCACUUAAGCGGGCCAACUAUAUAUAUCUGUGGGGCAUCUCUUGUUUUUUCCGCAUAUCUUUCCUCGGCAUCAGCUUAAAAAGAGGGGAUCUUCGGAAAGCCAGUUUUCGAACGAGAAUACGGCAGUACGGUACCAGUGAGUGACUCAUUCAGCAAUAUCAACGCAGCAAGGCAUCAGAGAGGCUUCAUUUCUACUAUGGAAACUUUUCUCAUAGUGCUGUGUCUUCUCGGCGGGACAGCUGCUCUUAGUCAAGAUCCUUGGUUGUCCGAAUCUUCCGACGACGAAUACGCUGACUACAUCUUCAACAACCUCGUUCCCAGAGCCCUGUCUGCUGUAGAAGGGGAACGAGCCGCUGGCGGUGCCUUCACCCUGGAUGGCUCCACCCCUGGAGGCGUCGCCAAGAGAGCUCGCUUCAUGAUGCACAGCUUUGGGCCUGGUCUCCGAUACCUUCUGCUGCAUCCCAGACCGAACGCCGUUAGAGGGAGGGCAGCGCUUCGUCUGCACUUCGCAAGGGGGCGUCCCGGAGCUGGAAAUCGGUCUCCAAAGUCUGGGAAAUGAUUUUGCGGACCCGAUACAGCCCUGCACAACGGAAGCAUUUUCAAUUUAUCAAAUCUUUAAGAUAUGCAGAACUUUAGAGAUACUUUUUAUUUACAAUUUCAAAACCAUAUCGGUAAAUUAGAUGACACAUGCGAAAAAAGGUGUAACUCGCUGAGGGGAUUUUUUAAGAUCAAAUUUAUCACUUGAUGAUCUUGGAAUAAAAGAAAUGUCUUUUGAAGUAAUGAUUUGUUCUCAGUGUCUUUCUUGAGACUUCCGGUCACAAUAAGUGUUUAUCAAUUUAUAAGACUACUAUUUAUCGAAAUAGGAGCUAAUGGCCAGAUGGACUUAAAAUUUCCACGUUAUUGUAGAAGAAGUAAACGUUAGCCUUUAACAUUGGGUUGCUAAGUUAUAAUACAAAGUGAGACGGAAUGUUGCGCUACAACGUCAAAUAAGCAGAUUGUCGUACACUGUAGGAUAACCAAGUUACGGUACAUUAUGAGAUGAUCAAGGUAUCCUACAACGUCAUAGAACAAAGUUGUUAUCGUUAAACGUGAAAUAACCACGUUAUCGUUUAUAACGAGAAUGACUCAUUAUCGUCCACCGUGGGAUAACCACAUCAUCACCAAGUACUGUGGGUUAACAAGGUUAUAUACACACAACGUGAAGUAAGCAUGUUAUCGUUUAACGAGAAAUAACCACGUUAUCUUACACCGUGGAAUAACUAAGUAACACACAGCACGAGAUAACCAGGUUAUCACCUAACGUUAUACUUAACGUAGAUAAUUAACGUAGAACACAGAGGCUGUGUACAUGUACUUUGUACAUACACAUUUCACAUGUGUUUUUGAGGGGCGGUGGACCUUCAAUGUAGAUGCUGCGAUUUUGGCUAUGCUGUUCUGCAUCAACUGAAGUUGGGUAUGAGUUUUGUCGUCUUCCAGCGAUUGAUCAGACACAGAGUCUCUACAGUACUAGUCUAGGAUC